UUAUGAAAAAAGCAAACUUGUUGAAAAACAGGGUCGCAAAGCUACGAGUCUGAAGCCGUUUUGGCCAUGACAGUCGGGUUGCCAUA
rnacentral:ncRNA from 1 species